UCCCNCUUGGCUUCAGGUCGGGGACAACCACUGGAAACGGUGGCUAAUACCGGAUAUGCCGAGAGGUGAAAGGCUUGCUGCCUGAACACUGAGCUCGCGUCUGAUUAGCUAGUAGGUGUGGUAAGAGCGCACCUAGGCGACGAUCAGUAGCUGGUCUGAGAGGAUGAUCAGCCACACUGGGACUGAGACACGGCCCAGACUCCUACGGGAGGCAGCAGUGGGGAAUUUUCCGCAAUGGGCGAAAGCCUGACGGAGCAAUACCGCGUGAGGGAGGAAGGCUCUUGGGUUGUAAACCUCUUUUCUCAAGGAAGAAAAAAAUGACGGUACUUGAGGAAUAAGCAUCGGCUAACUCCGUGCCAGCAGCCGCGGUAAUACGGAGGAUGCAAGCGUUAUCCGGAAUGAUUGGGCGUAAAGGGUCCGCAGGUGGCUAUGUAAGUCUGCUGUUAAAGAAUGAGGCUCAACCUCAUCANAGCAGUGGAAACUACACAGCUAGAGUGCGUUCGGGGUAGAGGGAAUUCCUGGUGUAGCGGUGAAAUGNGUAGAUAUCAGGAAGAACACCAGUGGCGAAAGCGCUCUACUAGGCCGUAACUGACACUGAGGACGAAAGCUAGGGACG
rnacentral:rRNA from 1 species